CGAUAACGAACGAGACCUUAACCUGCUAAAUAGCCAGGCUAGCUUUGGCUGGUCGCCGGCUUCUUAGAGGGACUAACAGCGUUUAGCUGUUGGAAGUUUGAGGCAAUAACAGGUCUGUGAUGCCCUUAGAUGUUCUGGGCCGCACGCGCGCUACACUGACUGAGCCAGCGAGUUCAUUUCCUUUAUCGGAAGAUAUGGGUAAUCUUUUGAAACUUCAUCGUGCUGGGGAUAGAGCAUUGCAACUAUUGCUCUUGAACGAGGAAUCCCUAGUAAGUACAAGUCACUAGCUUGUGCUGAUUACGUCCCUGCCCUUUGUACACACCGCCCGUCGCUACUACCGAUUGAAUGGCU
rnacentral:rRNA from 1 species